rnacentral:rRNA from 1 species
UGGGGAAUAUUGCGCAAUGGGCGAAAGCCUGACGCAGCGACGCCGCGUGAGGGACGACGGCCUUCGGGUUGUAAACCUCUUUCAGCAGGGACGAAGCGAAAGUGACGGUACCUGCAGAAGAAGCACCGGCCAACUACGUGCCAGCAGCCGCGGUAAUACGUAGGGUGCAAGCGUUGUCCGGAAUUAUUGGGCGUAAAGAGCUCGUAGGCGGUUUGUCACGUCGGAUGUGAAAACUCGGGGCUCAACUCCGAGCCUGCAUACGAUACGGGCAGACUUGAGUUCGGCAGGGGAGACUGGAAUUCCUGGUGUAGCGGUGAAAUGCGCAGAUAUCAGGAGGAACACCGGUGGCGAAGGCGGGUCUCUGGGCCGAUACUGACGCUGAGGAGCGAAAGCGUGGGGAGCGAACAGG